UACGUUCCCGGGCCUUGUACACACCGCCCGUCACACCAUGAGAGUCGGGAACACCCGAAGUCCGUAGCCUAACCGCAAGGGGGGCGCGGCCGAAGGUGGGUUCGAUAAUUGGGGUGAAGUCGUAACAAGGUAGCCGUAUCGGAAGGUGCGGCUGGAUCACCUCCUUUCUAAGGAGA
rnacentral:rRNA from 1 species